rnacentral:rRNA from 1 species
CCUACGGGAGGCAGCAGUGGGGAAUAUUGGACAAUGGGCGAAAGCCUGAUCCAGCAAUGCCGCGUGAGUGAUGAAGGCCUUAGGGUUGUAAAGCUCUUUUACCAGGGAUGAUAAUGACAGUACCUGGAGAAUAAGCUCCGGCUAACUCCGUGCCAGCAGCCGCGGUAAUACGGAGGGAGCUAGCGUUGUUCGGAAUUACUGGGCGUAAAGAGUACGUAGGCGGUUAUUCAAGUCAGAGGUGAAAGCCCGGGGCUCAACCCCGGAACUGCCUUUGAAACUAGAUAGCUAGAAUCUUGGAGAGGUCAGUGGAAUUCCGAGUGUAGAGGUGAAAUUCGUAGAUAUUCGGAAGAACACCAGUGGCGAAGGCGACUGACUGGACAAGUAUUGACGCUGAGGUACGAAAGCGUGGGGAGCAAACAGGAUUAGAUACCCUGGUAGUCCACGCCGUAAACGAUGAUAACUAGUUGUUCGGGCACUUGGUGCCUGAGUGACGCAGCUAACGCAUUAAGUUAUCCGCCUGGGGAGUACGGUCGCAAAGAUUAAAAACCUCAAAAUGGAAAUUUGACGGCNGAGAGAGCGACGACGACACGAGGAGGAGG